CUGUUAUUAUCAUUGUUAUAGACAAAGAAUUUUCCAUUCUACUGAUAAAUAUUCAAUAUAAAUAUAAGAUCUCAGUCAAACAAUAACAGUCAACAGGGACCCCCACACCAAGGGGGCCCCUCUAACUCAUUACACCAUUGGCCCCUGCCUCCCAUUAUUAAUUACCGGUGUUCCCUAAUCAUUCAUAAUAUACAUUUCAUACAAUUUCAUAUUAUUUAAUUAAUAUAUACAUCACUGCAUGGCUUUUCAAGAUACAUCAAUAAAACACUAUAAACAGAAAGUCAGAAACAAGUGCUAAUACUAAAUGGUAGAAAUACACAAUAAUGGAAAAAGGCUUUCAGUCAAUUAUCUGCCAGUAACUCGAGUCAUCUAAUGUCCAUUUCAUGUAUUAUAUAUGCAUAAUCAUUGCAUAGUCUGCUAUAGCACAACAUGUUUCAACUUUUCAUAUUUUCAUACACAUAAUAAUAUGAACAACAUGUUAAAAACAG